UUCUUUGAAGAAGAAAAAGAAAGAGAAUGGCCGUGAGAGAGAGAACAAACAAAAAAAAAAAAAAGAAAAUAGUAUAUUCAAGAGAGAGAGAGAAAGAGAGAGAGAGAGAGAGUGCAGAUCAGAUUAUGAAGGAAUAC